GACGAACGCUGGCGGCGUGCCUAAUACAUGCAAGUAGGACGCAGUUGCGAACGGGUGAGUAACGCGUAGGUAACUGCCUAUUAGAGGGGGAUAACUAUUGGAAACGAUAGCUAAUACCGCAUACUUGUAGAUGGACCUGCGUUGUAUUAGCUAGUAGGUAGGGUAAUGGCCUCCCUAGGCAACGAUACAUAGCCCACUGGGGAGGGGAAUCGGAUAGAUUGGGACUCAGACCCGGACCAGACUCCUACGGGAAGCAGCAAGAGGGCAGCUGUGGAAAAUGGAGGAACCCUGACCGAGCGACUCAGGAUGAGGGGAGGAGGUUUUCGGAUCGUAAAGCUCUGUUGUUACGGUAGCGAUACUUAGGCAGAAAGGGACGGCUAACUACGUGCCAGCAGCCGCGGUAAUAC
rnacentral:rRNA from 1 species